UUUUUUUUUUGCGCAGCCCCAACAUCAUCGUCGUUCACCCCGGUGAGACCACGACGCUCCUUGUUCGAUUCCGCAUCGGCGUUAUUUUCAUAUGAUUAAUUGUGUAUGUGUGCUGUUUUGUUUUUCUUUGUGGGAGGAACCCCGUGUUUGCGUGGAGGAGAAGGCAAGUCGUUCAACGCUCGUCGAUGUCAUAGCGAUGCACAAAUCGGAAUCACCGUCGUUCUUGCAAACGCUGAUUGGGUUUGUUUAUGGUGAGCCAUGUCGCUCUCGAUUGACUCGAUUAAUAAAUUAUAUAGAUGCGGUUGAAAUGUUUUGGCGGUAGGUCGUAAUAUGGUCGUGCUCAUGAUUUCGAGUUAGAGAUUGGUGGUCGUCGAUUCGUAUAAAUUGGUCGAUGUGGUGCGUGUUUAAAAAUUGUAUUGGUAUGGAUUGAAGUUUGUGGCGAAAUAAAAAGGAAGUAGAAAAGAACUCGGAUGUUUUUACGUUUCGAUAGGAAGAUGUGCGAUGUGUUGUUUGAUGCGAAGGGUAGGUUUUACUAGUUUAAACGGUUAGUCGGCAGACUCGAUCAGUAAAGCUAAGAUUUAUUAUGCGAUUAAGAUGAGGUGACGACAUGCCAUAGUAGUCGUCACCUUCUCUAUGUUUUCGAGUUGGAUAAAUACCAUAAGGCAAUUAAUUGUUGAUACCCAAAGAUUGUUAGAAACAAGUAAACGUGCUCUACCUGUUGCGUCAAAGGAAAUAUGGUGUGUUGAUUAAUUGGGAGCUACGUGACCUAAUAUAGAAAAGUAGUUAAGAAAACUAAUCGAAUUACUUUUAGCUAUAUUUUAAGUUAAGAUGUCUAAAAUGGUGAAACUAGUUUUGUUGGUCUCAUAGUGUUAUGAUUGAGAAAAAUAUGAACUUGUGUAUGAAUUACUAUUUUUUAUGCUGUGUUAGCCAACGCUUGUUAAAUAGAGGAAUUCAAUAGAGGAAUUCAAUUGCGUUGAGUGAUUGUUAUAUGUAGGUGUUUCCAGUACUUCAAGUGGUGGCAAGUUAAUUAGUAGACUCUCUAUAUGACGCUAAAUGUCUAGGUAGAAUUCUGAAAUUUGUGGUGCCCAAAUUGUCGAGUUAGAGGUUUAAUUCAAUCGAUGCCGAUUAAGUGGCUGAAAAUAACUAGUAAAGAAGUUGUAGAUGUAAAACUAGAAACUAGUAUGCAUAUGUCCUCGUAUGAUGUUGUGGUCUAAAUGCGUAUGUUUAUGGUCGUGAUGAAAAGUAGUAGUGCUCAGGUGAUGUCUAAAUUAAAAUGCAAACUAUUGGUGAAAAGCGCUUUGAUAUUGAUUGUUAUAGAGAAUGCAUUGUUAAUUGAGUAUGGUGCUUUUAGUGCGCAAAAUAACUUGUAUAAGAAUUAGUAAGUCUACCUGUUAGUUCUCACUUAGGUAUUUUAACUCUAACAAUUGUCAAAGUGUUAGAAUAAUUCAAGUCUUUAGAACAUGGCAAUUCUUGAAUUGUAUAGGAGCUGAAAUUUAUUAAUUUCUGUUUUGGACUGCGCGCGCUGUUUUAGUUGUGCUGUAUGUUUGAUGAACUAAAUUGUGUUUUCUGUAGAUAUGUGCUAUAGAAAAGUGGUAGAUAACCUUAUUAUCUUGCUGGUGUUAAAAUUUGACAGCCAUAGGUCUGACAGUUUAGGAGUUAUGCUUUUUACAAAUUCAGUAACUGAAUCUGUCCAAAUUCUGUACAGAUUUCAGAAACUGAAUUGUUUGUUCAAUUUAAUGUUGCAAUCUGUUCAUGGUCGUUAUAAGAAAGUUGUAGAUGUUUUUCUGAUCUUGCUUGUGUUAAAAUUUCAUAACCAUAGGACUGAUAGUUUAAGAGUUAUGAAUUUUACAAACUGCUUGCUGUGUUCUGUCCACCGUCAGAAUAGAUUCGAAAACUGUGUUGUUUGAUUUAGUUAAACAUUGAAUCACUUCUUAGUGAUUAUAAAAGUUAUUUAGUACUUUUGCUGAGCUUUCCAAAAAGUCUUGGAUCACUCUUUUUAGUGGUCUGAAACUUAAGUUAUGGAUGUUUAAAGUCUGAAGACUGAAUCUGUCCAGUUCUGGACAGCACAGCCUUCAUAGUGUAUUUUACUCUCGAUACAUAUUAAACUAGCCAAUGAUGUGUAUAAAUAAUUUGUAGAACAUUUAAUUAGCUUUCCAGAAAGUCUAAAAUCACUUUGUUUGGAUGUCUGAAUCUGUAGUUGUGAAUUUUUGAAGUUGCAAGUCAGAAUCUGUCCAAAUCUGGACAGAGCUGCUGUGAUUGCACUUUUUGACCUUGAUAAGUGUUGAAUCAGUUUGAGUUGAAAAUACCAAAGUUGUAGUUCACCUUGUAAGCUUUCCAGAAAGUCCUAGUUUGAUAUUUUUGGAUUAAUAUUUGAAGAGAUACGAUUAAAACAAGUAGCUGCUGUGCUGCUGUCCUAAAAAUCUGCAUGUGCUCAAAUGAAUAUUUAGUUCACCAUUUUGGCUAAAAAUGCUUAGUUAGCACUUAACGGACAUAAACUUGUGAUAGCUAAACUUAAGUUAACAUGUGUUCCAUGAUUAAUGUGCUUGCUUGCUAUAGUUGAUUGUGAUAGAUGAGUCCAUCGACAUUGAUGCAUCGGUCCUCUGUUAAACUUGUGUUGUGAUGCUUUUGUGUGAUCAAUAGAACUAAUGCAAAGUCGUAGCAAUUAAAUAAAUGUGUGUACCUGUGAUAUCGUAUUUGUGUUGCGUAAAUAAAUAAGAUAUGGUCGUCUUGUUAUUGGUGUUAAUGAUGAACGCUGAUAACGUACGAAUAGCUAGCGCUUGCGUAUAGUCGUUGCGGUGUCUUACUACUUGGUGUUUAGUUCGCUACCGUGUAUUGUAUAUCUUGUGAUAACUUUUCAUUAUAUUCAUACAUAUGCAUCUUGCACCUCAUAUAGGACCGUGAGAUGAUGAUUGAGCCAGUGAUGUGGUGCCACCCACAAGAUGCAGAUGGUGGACGUACUGAAGGAUGGUGGACUUAACCAGUGGAUACUCGCCGAGCGAGUACCCUCCCCCAGCAAACACUAUCUAAGUGUCAAAUUAAAGGCAAGCCCCGGUUUUAUGCAUAACCUGUUAUUAUGCUAUUUUACUUCACUUAAUGCUUGUAGGAUUGAUUGUGCACUUAAGUGUAGGAAUUGUUUGAAACCCUAGUUGCAUGAUCUCAGGAAUCCUAUUGAGAUGAAUACUAGUAUGCUAGGUCGAGUAGCUGCUUUAUUAAGUAGGAUCUCGGUAGAAGACGAGUGAUUUUUCUAGCACUCGCGCGAGGUCAGGCCAUUGAUUGUACCCACUUUCAUAUCGUACUGAUGUUGGUUGUGGACAACAAUCCAUGGGGAUUGGUUGUCCACGGGAUAAAAUUUGAGUAAGGAUUAAGGUGUGGUACCGUGAGUCAAGCGUUUGAACGUACUAAACACAUACCGAGAAAUAUGGUAAAUCGGUAAGCCUAGUACCUGAGUGAACCUGCCCGCAGACUUUACCCCUCACGCGACCUGAGACGAGGUCUCCCAUUCCGGUUAUGGUGGGUACAAGUGCGGCCACUGCACGACGGCCAGUCGGGGUCAGUGGGGCAUUGUACGCCAAGGCGGUGAGCCCUGUUCUGUUGCCAGGGAAUCGAUGGGGACGGUUGAUGUGUGUGGGGACGGAGUGCCCCUACAUAUCGUGUGUUUAGGUUUACCUUGCAAGGAUAAAAACUCGAUUCGAAUCGUCUGCUUCUCGCAGCUAAUGAGACUGCUUGAUCCAUGCUGCUACAUUGAGUAACAAGUGGAAUGAUGCGGAGAUGAUAUAAGAUGUUGAUUGCUAAAAUGUUUGCUACUUUGUAUGAAUAGAUAGUACAUUUUUAGCCUUAAGAGAGUCACACUUAACUUGACUAAGUUAAAAUCUUGAUUUAGAAACUCAGCUAGUGCUUUUGGCAACCAAACCCCACAGCCAAACAGCUGCAUGUCUAGAGGUAGAGGAGUAGACUCCUCACACCGGGUAAGUCUAGCUGAGUAUUAGUAUACUCAGCCUUGCUUGUGGCACAAUUUUUGCAGGUACUCCUUAGGAUGAUUGGUUGCGGGUGUGACUUGGCCUUCAUCCCUGCCACCGGGAUAGAUGGUCGAGAGGGUUAUUGCUUCCGCAGGAGAGGACCAGGAGGAGUAGCGUGGCCAGGCUUCGCCAUGUUACUCGGUUUUCUCCGUUAGUUAUUUCCGCUGCAUUAAAAUUUAUGGUUAUUAUUUUUGAAACUCCGAUAAUGUAAUCACUAAUGAUACUUAUUAAAAUUGUGGUAUUCUGCUUUAUUGUAUUUCUCUGUGCCUCACCUUCGAGUGAGCUAGUGGUAUUCGAUCCUGGUAAGUGGCUUUAUCGGACUAGAUCCGAGGGACUGACGGGUUAUUCCUGUUUAAGUGUGUUGCUGCCCUUAAGGGUGCGACUUGGGCACUUAAGCUGGAAUAAUUCGGGCGGUUCCGCCACAGCUGGUAUCGGAGCGAAUACCAUUACAGAGAAGUCAAUAAGUCAUGAUUACCAACCUUUUCUAAAAGUAAAACUUGCUAGAAACCAAGUUGGAUAGCAGUCAGGACGAUAAGGAUAGACCUAGGACGUGAAGCCUUAGGAAAUAGAUGGUUAGCUAGGUGGCUAUAUAUAUAGGCCAUAAAGGCUACUACUAUUAAUAAGGAUGCUGUAGAAGCACCCGAAAAAUUAGUUAGGUCUGAGAAGACGACUAGAAUGAGCAUGCAUCAUGAUUGUCGCAUUAUAAUUGUCUCUUGUGCACCAACAUGCUGCUCUCACCUUUAUUCUAAUAAUAACUUUUGAAUAAUGUGAUGUACUGCUAUGUUAGGAAUUAUAAGAAAUGCUUUAUCUUGUGUCGGAUUGGUAUGUCUUAACUAGGUCGUGAUAUGUGUUUCUCUUGCCUUGCUUUCUAGAAGGUACGAUAUUUGUUCAGUCCAUUUUGCCUCAAAAAAAAUGUUGUUUGUUUCCUCAUGAAAAGACCCCCCCAACAACCUUGAGUUUAGCAAGUGAAACCUCUUAAAAAAAAUCAUGCUUGUGUUGGUGUUUUAUGACCAUUGUGUGUUUCCCCCUUGAAAUUGCACCUGCACAACUUGUAGACCCCCAUUGCUUAAUCGCUAGCCAAACCGAAACUCCCUUAUGCACGUGGUUAUGUCAAAAAAAAUUGUUGUUUGGUGUCUAGUUGCGCAAACCCUAUCAAGGCCAUGUUUCUUUCCAUAGAUCCUGUCUCGAAACUUUAUAACAUUUCUAUUGAUCAUCCUAGCCGAUCCUGUUUGCCUACCUCUCUUUUCACCUGGAUCUAGUACUCUCUUUCCUCGUGAAUCAUGUUGUGGCUUUAUCAUCGAAAUCUCGGGAUCCCCUAUUGAAUCUGCCCCGUUAUCUGGUUAUCUGCUAUAACCCGUUCUCAAGUAUCAGAUGUUGAUCUUGCCUAAAUCUCUCAUUUCUGAUCAUUCUCAUACUCUUUCUCUAAGGAUCAUGACGUCAUUUUAUCAACUUAUCUCUAAACGACAUAUCCAGGUGGAUUAAUGGAUGUUGUUGUUAUCUUGGGAUCUUUUAUGUCUCUAAAAGCUUAUCAGUCUCGAUCUCAUGGUUGGUUCCCCUCAUAUCCACUCUCGUAUAAAUCUCUGACCUGAUAAUCUCCGUAUUAAUCAUAAAAUAAUUCUCUGAGUUGAAGAAAGUUCUUAUGUGAAGCUCUUUUGCCAACAAUCUUUGCUUCAACUUCAGUCACAUUUUCUGAGCCAUACUCUCAUAGGCUCCAUCUAUAUUUGCUAUGUGGAUUUCAUUGGUUACGUUUGGUAAUGGUGUCAUGACUAACGACUGAUGGUGCCGCGACGACGAGUCCUUAACUUCUUAAUUCGUUUUAGAGUGCUAAGUCGCGCGUCUCGCCGCGCGACAAUCCUUUUUAUUUAUCUUCACCUGCUUAUAAUGAUUAGACAUGAAACAUGACUUUACUUUACGCUAAACAUAGUGUCUACAUUAAAUUUCCUUCCAUUAAGCGAGUGGUUAAUUUAUAAUCAUGUAACGUGACCGUUUCUCUACUGUCUUGUUCCCUUUCUCUCUUAACUGUAACUGCGAGCCCGCGUGGAACGUCUGUUUACUUACUGCAUUCUAUUGUAUGGUGUACUGUUCUUUUGUAUUAAAUAUGUGGAUGUAUGUGUGUUUGCGCUCGCAUAGAGAACGAUCCGGUCGAAGAGCCCGAGGAACUAGCAGGAGAAGCCCCUGAGCAGCAGUCGGUUGGUGGAGGCAAGUGUCCUUUGACCUAUCUCUGUCCUAUUCAUUAUUUAAUUCACCUCCCGCUUUACACAUUUAUGCCUAAGGAUUGACUAGCUUUUGUUAUCCAUGUCCUUGUUUACCUAUUUGGGUUGGACUAUUAUUGUUUAGCUUUAUGCUAUUGCUUAACCCUAAUCAAUGAACAUGAUGAGAUUAUCUAUGAUACGCUGUUUUCCCCUUUCUUAUGAUGAUGUUAUACUUGUGGUCUUCAAGGGGGCUCGAGCGGUUUCUCGAGUGCCUCUCCGUAAGGACCUGUUCUAUGGAUGGCCGCCCGGGAAAACAGUGCAACCAUGAGGGUGGAAUGGGAUGCCCUUAGCUGAAUAAUUAGAAGAUCCGGGGUGUAGAUCACUUAGCCGUCGUGCCGUCAAUGGGGCUCGGUGUAUGUGGCUCGCUCUGCCAAGUUUGGGUUCGCCCCUUGGGGAGGAGUGCGGUGCAUUUAGGAAACCUAACGGGUGGCUACAGCCCCGGGGAAUCUUUGUAAAGGCUACGUAGUGAUGUCCUGCUAGGCCACCUAGGUAGUGGUCAAUGGGGAGUAGCUCUCUCCGGGCAGAAAGGGAAUCACGGCUUGUGGGUAAAGUGCACAACCUCUGCAGAGUGUUUAAAAACUGAUAUAUCAACCGUGCUCACGGUUAUGAGCGGCCAAGGGAGCUCCAGUGAUUAGUGGUACUUGAUCAGAGACAUUAUGGUACAGGUGGCUAUGAGAUCGAUGGUUUUGGUUAUGACUUUGGUGCUGGUAAGUGGUACUCUUUCCGUUUGGAAAGGGUACAUCGGGCUAAUAACUUGGGUUAAUGCUAAAACCUGGCUUUCUAUUAGUAAAUAAUAAUCUGACCAACUAAAAGCAACUGCUUGACUUAUCUCCACAUAAAGCUAGUCCACUACAGCCAAACAGGAUACUUGCUAAGUAUGUUGAUGUGUACUCACCCUUGCUCUACACACCAAACCCCCCCCCCAUCCCCAG
rnacentral:lncRNA from 1 species